rnacentral:rRNA from 1 species
GACGAACGCUGGCGGCGUGCUUAAUACAUGCAAGUCAACUGAACUUGAAGUAGCAAUAUUUCAAGGGAGGUGGCGCACGGGUGAGUAACACGUAGGUAAUCUGCCUUUAGGUCUGACAUAAUUCCGCGAAAGCGGGACUAACUUCAGAUGAUGCAGCGGCUCGACAUCGAGACAGUUGUUAAAUCUUCGGAGCCUAAAGAUGAGCCUGCGUCUGAUUAGGUAGUUGGCGGAGUAAUGGCCCACCAAGCCAUCGAUCAGUAGCUGGUCUGAGGGGAUGAUCAGCCACACUGGAACUGAGACACGGUCCAGACUCCUACGGGAGGCAGCAGUAAGGAAUAUUGCUCAAUGGCCGAAAGGCUGAAGCAGCAACGCCGCGUGGAGGACGAAAUACUUUUGUAUGUAAACUCCUGUAAGAAGGGAAAAUAUUCCGAUUUAUCGGGAUUGAUUGUACCUUCAGAGUAAGCCCCGGCUAACUACGUGCC